GAUCUGACAUGGCUCUGGCUUCCACACAUCCCGGUCUGCAAACACCUGGCCGUCCAUGGUGCAGCUCCCGCCUGUACCUGAGGGGGGUGACAGAGAGAACAAGAGACUCGGAAAAAAAGAAUGGAAAAAAGCAGAUGAAAAAGGAGGAGGGAAAAAGAAGGCGGUGUGGAAGACGUGGCGGCCAGAUGUUUCAGCAGCCAUCCACCCGAGAAGAGAGAAUCUAAUUUCAAAAACCAGUUAGAAAAACAGGACAAAAUAGAGGGUUAAGAAGCUCCAGUAAAGUGAUGAAACUUACGAUCGUCCUCGCCCUGCGCUCUGACCAGGAA